GAAGAAAGGGAAAAAGGAAGGAAGGAAGGGAGGGAGGGAGGGAGGGAGGGAAAAGAAAGACCAUGGUUAACUCAUGAUGUGGGUCUUAUCCCUAACAUUAGCUAAAGUCUUCCAUUCUUUAAACCUCCUAUGAUCAUACAAAUUUAGGUUUAGAGCCAGAAGGGUCCAUAGGGAUUGUUUAGUCCAACCCCUUCAUCUUUCAGGGGAAACUAAAGCCCACUGAGUUGGAUUCACAAAGUUUCCACUGUAUCACACUACUUUGAGGGAGAAAAGAAAAGCAUCCAAGGUAUAAAUGAAGGAGGC
rnacentral:lncRNA from 1 species